rnacentral:lncRNA from 1 species
ACGUGUCACUUCUAUAAGUCGCAGGAACAAGGCUGUAGGGGGUCGGCCCGUCAUUGGACCGGGGAGCUCCGAUCCAUCUAUCCAAGCCUUCCAAGACAUCCUUUUCGGCCCUAGAGUCCUGGACUUCUAGUAUCUAGGCAAAGUCGAUCAAUGGAUCCACUAAAUUGAAGUCAUGGACAGUCAGGCGAAUCGUUAAAAACACUAUCUUUUUUAAGAAAUGAAGCAAUGACAAUGAAACAAAUU